rnacentral:rRNA from 1 species
GACGAACGCUGGCGGCGUGCUUAACACAUGCAAGUCGAACGAUGAACCCGGCGCUUGCUCCGGUGGAUUAGUGGCGAACGGGUGAGUAACACGUGAGUAACCUGCCCUUGACUCUGGGAUAACUGCGGGAAACUGUAGCUAAUACCGGAUACGAAGUCUGUAGGCAUCUACGGAUGUGGAAAGUUUUUCGGUUAGGGGUGGGCCCGCGGUCUAUCAGCUUGUUGGUGAGGUAGUGGCUCACCAAGGCGACGACGGGUAGCCGGCCUGAGAGGGCUACCGGCAACACUGGAACUGAGACACGGCCCAGACUCCUACGGGAGGCAGCAGUGGGGAAUAUUGCGCAAUGGGCGAAAGCCUGACGCAGCAACGCCGCGUGCGGGAUGGAGGCCUUCGGGUUGUAAACCGCUUUCAGCAGGGAAGAAGCGAAAGUGACGGUACCUGCAGAAGAAGCACCGGCUAACUACGUGCCAGCCGCCGCGGUAA